GCAUAUCAAUAAGCGGAGGAAAAGAAACCAACAGGGAUUGCCCUAGUAACGGCGAGUGAAGCGGCAACAGCUCAAAUUUGAAAUCUGGCGUCUUUGGCGUCCGAGUUGUAAUUUGCAGAGGGCGCUUUGGCAUUGGCAGCGGUCCAAGUUCCUUGGAACAGGACGUCACAGAGGGUGAGAAUCCCGUACGUGGUCGCUAGCCUCUACCGUGUAAAGCCCCUUCGACGAGUCGAGUUGUUUGGGAAUGCAGCUCUAAAUGGGAGGUAAAUUUCUUCUAAAGCUAAAUACUGGCCAGAGACCGAUAGCGCACAAGUAGAGUGAUCGAAAGAUGAAAAGCACUUUGGAAAGAGAGUUAAAAAGCACGUGAAAUUGUUGAAAGGGAAGCGCUUGCAGCCAGACUUGCCUGUAGUUGCUCAUCUAGGUUUCUACCUAGUGCACUCUUCUAUAGGCAGGCCAGCAUCAGUUUGGGCGGUUGGAUAAAGGUCUCUGUCAUGUACCUCUCUUCGGGGAGAACUUAUAGGGGAGACGACAUGCAACCAGCCUGGACUGAGGUCCGCGCAUCUGCUAGGAUGCUGGCGUAAUGGCUGUAAGCGGCCCGUCUUGAAACACGGACCAAGGAGUCUAACAUCUAUGCGAGUGUUUGGGUGUCAAGCCCGAACGCGUAAUGAAAGUGAACGGAGGUGGGAACCUUUCGGGGUGCACCAUCGACCGAUCCUGAUGUCUUCGGAUGGAUUUGAGUCAAGAGCAUAGCUGUUGGGACCCCGAAAGAUGGUGAAGCUAUGCUUGAAUAGGGUGAAGCCAGAGGAAACUCUGGUGGAGGCUCGCAGCGGUUCU
rnacentral:rRNA from 1 species